rnacentral:rRNA from 1 species
AGAGUUUGAUCAUGGCUCAGGACGAACGCUGGCGGCGUGCCUAAUACAUGCAAGUCGAACGCUUCUGCUUUAACUGAUGCUUGCAUCGACCUAAGUUAGAAGAGUGGCGAACGGGUGAGUAACACGUGGGUAACCUGUCCAUCAGAGGGGGAUAACACUUGGAAACAGGUGCUAAUACCGCAUAACACUAAAAACCGCAUGGUUUUUGGUUGAAAGGCGCUUCUGGUGUCGCUGAUGGAUGGACCCGCGGUGCAUUAGCUAGUCGGUGGGGUAACGGCCUACCGAGGCAAUGAUGCAUAGCCGACCUGAGAGGGUGAUCGGCCACAUUGGGACUGAGACACGGCCCAAACUCCUACGGGAGGCAGCAGUAGGGAAUCUUCGGCAAUGGACGCAAGUCUGACCGAGCAACGCCGCGUGAGUGAUGAAGGUUUUCGGAUCGUAAAACUCUGUUGUUAGAGAAGAACAAGAGAAGUAGUAACUGGCUUCUCCUUGACGGUAUCUAACCAGAAAGCCACGGCUAACUACGUGCCAGCAGCCGCGGUAAUACGUAGGUGGCAAGCGUUGUCCGGAUUUAUUGGGCGUAAAGCGAGCGCAGGCGGUCUUUUAAGUCUGAUGUGAAAGCCCACGGCUUAACCGUGGAGGGUCAUUGGAAACUGGGAGACUUGAGUGCAGAAGAGGAAAGUGGAACUCCAUGUGUAGCGGUGAAAUGCGUAGAUAUUAGGAAGAACACCGGUGGCGAAGGCGGCUUACUGGACUGAAACUGACGCUGAGUCACGAAAGCGUGGGGAGCGAACAGGAUUAGAUACCCUGGUAGU